AUGUUCUCAGACUUGUGAUGAAAGCUCACCAGAACAGCCCACAGAAGAUCACUUUAUCCACAAAAAGCACAACCAAUCGCUGGGUCAAUGGGGAUUGAGCUUGAUUCUUCGUAGAAACAGUGGCAGAUUACUUCGGAUUGGAGGAAUCUCACCCUGAACCUGCUUUAGCGUCGACAGCCGUCGUCUUGGAUCUGCCUUGACGUCUACCACUGUGGUUGGCAGAAGAUUAUCCAUUAAGGUCCACUCGUUGGCCCUUCUUCGCGAACACUCGCUUCGCGGCCAUUGACUACGCGCUUCGCGGCCCUCAGGAGCUUCGUGGGUGUAUGGCCUCGCGACUAUUUGCGUCCCCCGCGGCGCUGGAACUUGAAACUCUUUUUGUAUUUUUUUUUUUUUUAACUAACUAACAGAAAGAUGCAAAUUGAAAAUUGACAGAAAAUUAAAAGCAAAGAAAGAAGCUAGCAGCAACACGUUUGGCUAACCUCUAAAAGGUCACGGAGGAGGCCAUCUAUGCUUUACUCCAAGCUCCGAUGUAUCAAAGUUUAUAGCAUGAAAACCUCUCUUGUGAGAGCUUGCAGGAAAGCAACAAAGAUACUUCGCGUCAAAAACUUGGAAGAAAUUUGGCUCGUAAAAGGAGUAAUAUUGCCCCCCAAGUAUCUUUGUUGGUUGACGAAGCAUGAUCUUCAAUUGCAAUUUUAGAGAUGAUGGUAUCCCAAGAUCGGUUUUGUCGCCAACUACCAUGUCAUAGAACAUGGUGUCUUCAGAAUAAGCCACAGAUUGGCCAUUAUAUUUAACCACUUGUUGGUUAAAAUUCUCACGAUCAAGAGCCUCAAAGAACUUGAACUCCUGCAUAUGACUUUUGGAAUCAAUAAUUAAAUUAUAAUUCUCAUCAUACUCGUCA